rnacentral:rRNA from 1 species
UCANAANACANGRUNAKUCGCCAGAGUACUACUAGCAACAGCUUAAAACUCAAAGGACUUGGCGGUGCUUCAUAUCCCUCUAGAGGAGCCUGUUCUAUAAUCGAUAAACCCCGAUCAACCUCACCAACCCUUGCUACUUCAGUCUAUAUACCGCCAUCUUCAGCAAACCCCAGUAAGGGAACGACAGUAAGCACAACUACUUUACGUAAAAACGUUAGGUCAAGGUGUAACCUAUGGGAUGGGAAGAAAUGGGCUACAUUUUCUACACUAAGAAUACCCUUUAUACCUAAACGAAAGUUUUUAUGAAAUAUAAAAACCAAAGGAGGAUUUAGCAGUAAAUUAAGAAUANAGCGCUUAAUUGAAUAAGGCCAUGAAGCACGCACACACCGNCCGUCA